rnacentral:rRNA from 1 species
AACGAACGCUGGCGGCAUGCCUAACACAUGCAAGUCGAACGAGACCUUCGGGUCUAGUGGCGCACGGGUGCGUAACGCGUGGGAACCUGCCCUUAGGUUCGGAAUAACUCCCCGAAAGGGGUUCUAAUACCGGAUAAUGUCUUCGGACCAAAGAUUUAUCGCCUUUGGAUGGGCCCGCGUUGGAUUAGCUAGUUGGUAGGGUAAAAGCCUACCAAGGCGACGAUCCAUAGCUGGUCUGAGAGGAUGAUCAGCCACACUGGGACUGAGACACGGCCCAGACUCCUACGGGAGGCAGCAGUGGGGAAUAUUGGACAAUGGGCGAAAGCCUGAUCCAGCAAUGCCGCGUGAGUGAUGAAGGCCUUAGGGUUGUAAAGCUCUUUUACCCGGGAUGAUAAUGACAGUACCGGGAGAAUAAGCGCCGGCUAACUCCGUG